AUUGAACGCUGGCGGCAGGCCUAACACAUGCAAGUCGAACGAGUGGCGGACGGGUGAGUAAUGUCUGGGAAACUGCCCGAUGGAGGGGGGUGACUACUGGAAACGGUAGCUAAUACCGCAUACCAUCGGAUGUGCCCAGAUGGGAUUAGCUAGUAGGUGGGGUAACGGCUCACCUAGGCGACGAUCCCUAGCUGGUCUGAGAGGAUGACCAGCCACACCGGAACUGAGACACGGUCCCGACUCCUACGGGAGGCAGGAGUGGGGAAUAUUGCACAAUGGGCGCAAGCCUGAUGGAGCCAUGCCGGGGGGAUGAAGAAGGCCUUCGGGUUGUAAAGUACUUUCCGCGGGGAGGCGUUACCUGCAGAAGAAGCCCCGGCUAACUCCGUGCCAGCCGCCGCGGUAAUAC
rnacentral:rRNA from 1 species